AUUGAACGCUGGCGGCAUGCCUAACACAUGCAAGUCGAACGGAGCGGCGGCCGGGUGAGUAGUGCCUAGGCAUCUGCCUGGCCGUGGGGGCUAACGACGGGAAACGGGCGCUAAUACCGCAUACUAUCAGAUGGGCCUGGGCCGGAUGAGCUAGGUGGUGGGGUAAAGGCCUACAAAGGCGACGAUCCGUAACUGGUCUGAGAGGCUGAUCGGUCACACUGGAACUGAGACACGGUCCAGACUCCUACGGGAGGCAGCAGUGGGGAAUAUUGGACAAUGGGCGAAAGCCUGAUCCAGCCAUGCCGCGUGUGUGAAGAAGGUCUUCGGAUUGUAAAGCACUUUAAGUUGGGAGGCGUUACCAACAGAAUAAGCACCGGCUAACUUCGUGCCAGCAGCCGCGGUAAUUC
rnacentral:rRNA from 1 species